CUGCUGCCUUCCGUAGGAGUUUGGGCCGUGUCUCAGUCCCAAUGUGGCCGUCCACCCUCUCAGGCCGGCUACUGAUCGCUGCCUUGGUGGGCCGUUACCCCGCCAACUAGCUAAUCAGACGCGAUCCAUCGUAUACCACCGGAGUUUUUCACACUGCCCCAUGCGGAGCCGUGCGCUUAUGCGGUAUUAGCACCUAUUUCUAAGUGUUAUCCCCCGGUAUACGGCAGGUUAUCCACGCGUUACUCACCCGUCCGCCA
rnacentral:rRNA from 1 species